CAACUCGCCUGCAUGAAGUUGGAAUUGCUAGUAAUCGCGAAUCAGAAUGUCGCGGUGAAUACGUUCCCGGGCCUUGUACACACCGCCCGUCACACCAUGAGAGUCGAUAACACCCGAAGCCUGUGAGCUAACCGCAAGGAGGCAGCAGUCGAAGGUGGGGUUGAUGAUUGGGGUGAAGUCGUAACAAGGUACC
rnacentral:rRNA from 1 species